rnacentral:misc_RNA from 1 species
CUUUUCACUUUGGGAGCUGUUAGUCUAUAUCACUAUAGCUGGCUCCUAUUUGAAACCCUUGUCUUUUGCGUACCCAUGUUUCCUCGGCGGGCUUGCCCGCCGGUUGGACAACCUUAAAACCUUUUUAAUUUUCAAUCAGCGUCUGAAUAAACAUAAUAAUUA